rnacentral:misc_RNA from 1 species
GCAAAAGCAGCCACAACUUUUGGUGUAACCCUUGCUUUUAUAUAUAUUUGAAGUGCCAGCUCGUUAUCAACAGUCUUUACAAGAUCACCAAGUUCUUCACUGCAUUCGAGUUUAUCGUCCUUCAACCAAUUCUCUAAGAGAUUCUUCUUAUUCUGAUUAACGACAAGGCGAGAUAACUCUAGAGAUUCAAAUGCAUUGAGCUUUCCCCGUGUUAAUAAAGUUCCAAAGUACUGCAACAGUGGUGGUGUUUGC